CGAGGGGUCCUAGCGUUGUUCGGAAUCAUUGGGCGUAAAGAGCUCGUAGGUGGCUUAGUAAGUCAGGUGUGAAAGCCCAGGGCUCAACCCUGGAAGUGCACUUGAAACUGCAUAGCUUGAGUACGGUAGAGGUAAGUGGAAUUCCUGGUGUAGUGGUGAAAUACGUAGAUAUCAGGAGGAACAUCGGUGGCGAAGGCGGCUUACUGGACCCAGUACUGACACUGAGGAGCGAAAGCAUGGGGAUCAAACAGGAUUAGAUACCCUGGUAGUCCAUGCUGUAAACGAUGGAUACUUGUUGUUGGAGGUAUUGACCCCUUUCAGUGACGAAGCUAACGCGUUAAGUAUCCCGCCUGGGAAGUACGGUCGCAAGAUUAA
rnacentral:rRNA from 1 species